GAUGAACGCUGGCGGCGUGCCUAAUACAUGCAAGUCGAGCGAACGGACGAGAAGCUUGCUUCUCUGAUGUUAGCGGCGGACGGGUGAGUAACACGUGGAUAACCUACCUAUAAGACUGGGAUAACUUCGGGAAACCGUAGCUAAUACCGGAUAAUAUUUUGAACCGCAUGGUUCAAAAGUGAAAGACGGUCUUGCUGUCACUUAUAGAUGGAUCCGCGCUGCAUUAGCUAGUUGGUAAGGUAACGGCUUACCAAGGCAACGAUGCAUAGCCGACCUGAGAGGGUGAUCGGCCACACUGGAACUGAGACACGGUCCAGACUCCUACGGGAGGCAGCAGUAGGGAAUCUUCCGCAAUGGGCGAAAGCCUGACGGAGCAACGCCGCGUGGGUGAUGAAGGUCUUCGGAUCGUAAAACUCUGUUAUUGGGGAAGAACAUAUGUGUAAGUAACUGUGCACGUCUUGACGGUACCUAAUCAGAAAGCCACGGCUAACUACGUG
rnacentral:rRNA from 1 species